rnacentral:rRNA from 1 species
GGCGGACGGGUGAGUAAUAUAUAGGUAAUGUGCCCUAGAGAAGAGGAUAACAGUCGGAAACGACUGCUAAUACUCUAUAUGCCUUUAAGACAAAAGUCUGCAAGGGAAAUAUUUAUAGCUCUAGGAUCGGCCUGUACGGUAUCAGCUAGUUGGUGAGGUAAUGGCUCACCAAGGCAAUGACGCCUAACUGGUUUGAGAGGAUGAUCAGUCACACUGGAACUGAGACACGGUCCAGACUCCUACGGGAGGCAGCAGUGGGGAAUAUUGCACAAUGGGGGAAACCCUGAUGCAGCAACGCCGCGUGGAGGAUGACACAUUUCGGUGCGUAAACUCCUUUUAUAUAGGAAGAUAAUGACGGUACUAUAUGAAUAAGCGCCGGCUAACUCCGUGCCAGCAGCCGCGGUAAUACGGAGGGCGCAAGCGUUACUCGGAAUCACUGGGCGUAAAGAGCGUGUAGGCGGGUUAAUAAGUUUGAAGUGAAAUCCUAUGGCUCAACCAUAGAACUGCUUUGAAAACUGUUAACCUAGAAUAUGGGAGAGGUAGAUGGAAUUUCUGGUGUAGGGGUAAAAUCCGUAGAGAUCAGAAGGAAUACCGAUUGCGAAGGCGAUCUACUGGAACAUUAUUGACGCUGAGACGCGAAAGCGUGGGGAGCAAACAGGAUUAGAUACCCUGGUAGUCCACGCCCUAAACGAUGUCCACUAGUUGUUGUGAGGCUAGACCUUGCAGUAAUGCAGUAAACACAUUAAGU